rnacentral:rRNA from 1 species
UGGGGAAUAUUGCACAAUGGGCGAAAGCCUGAUGCAGCAACGCCGCGUGAGUGAUGAAGGCCUUCGGGUUGUAAAGCUCUGUCUUCUGGGACGAUAAUGACGGUACCAGAGGAGGAAGCCACGGCUAACUACGUGCCAGCAGCCGCGGUAAUACGUAGGUGGCAAGCGUUGUCCGGAUUUACUGGGCGUAAAGGAUGCGUAGGCGGAUACUUAAGUCAGAUGUGAAAAUCCCGGGCUUAACUUGGGAACUGCAUUUGAAACUGGGUAUCUAGAGUGCGGGAGAGGAAAGUGGAAUUCCUAGUGUAGCGGUGAAAUGCGUAGAGAUUAGGAAGAACAUCAGUGGCGAAGGCGACUUUCUGGACCGUAACUGACGCUGAGGCAUGAAAGCGUGGGGAGCAAACA